rnacentral:misc_RNA from 1 species
CUUUUAAACGGCUUCCCUUGUUUUGAUUUAGGAAUCUUAUGAAACUCCAACUUUUCAAGUUCUGAUAAAAUCCAGCCCGGUGCCCUAUCAAGCCAGAGAGCCACACCACCAUCCUUGCGUUUAAAAUCAGGAUGUCUUGAAUGUGCCAAUCCACUACGCUUAUUGCUGCGGUAAUCCCACCACUGUUUUUGAUUAUCAAGAAGGUCUCUCCAGGAAUUUAAUGCAGAAUCACCAUCUUUGUUAGUACUAGCAUUAUACUUUAAAGGCCCUUCCUGUUGCCUGUGUAAAAAGCCGCCAUCUUGUUGCCAACGCCCAUAGCCUUUUGUAAUUUGAGAAGACACUUGGACAAAGUUCAUAUUAUCUACCAUAAUCCAAACUUGGGCUUGACCCCCAAUUACAUCUAUGGGAGGGGAACCUGAAAUUAGUUCUCCAGCUAUGUAGACAUAAUCACCUUUUUUUAAGUGGCUAGAAGCAACAUGAGCCAAAUUACCUUCAAAUAUUAUUGGAAUUCGCAGAGGAGGAGAAUCAAAAGAAGGGUUCUGGGUUAUGACGGUGGCAGCCCAAUUCUGGCUAUGAGGUGAAGCCUGGAAUUGAAUGGGCUGACUAACAUAACCAACCAAGUUCACCGAAUUGGCAACCUUAGCCUGAAAUGGAAUCUCCCUGGGUCUAGGCCAAUCAGACGAUGACGGCAGGGGAGGUGAUUUCAGCUGGGAAACUGUGGAGGGCUUAGCAUUAGUAGCAAAAGAAUUAGAGGAAGAAGAAGAAAUGGAGUAAGAGGAGUGUAACAGGAAUUGGAGAGAACAACUCCUGGUCCUCCUUGUGGAUUGACCAAGCGCUCUACACAGAGAAUUCAUGGCUCGACCCAAUUUUUCAGUAGUAAGCACUUGCGCUCUGGGAAUUCGAAGUCGGGCCAAAGAGAGCAGAA